AGAGUUUGAUCAUGGCUCAGAACGAACGCUGGCGGCGUGGAUAAGACAUGCAAGUCGAGCGGGAUACAGGCUGUAGCAAUAUGGCUUGUGUUCAGCGGCGCAAGGGUGCGUAACACGUGGGCAAUUUGCCAUGAAGUUUGGGAUAAUCCCGCGAAAGCGGGACUAAUACCGGAUGUGAAGAUUGGGUGGCAUCAUCUGAUCUUUAAAGUUGGGGACCGCAAGGCCUGACGCUUCAUGAUAAGCCCGCGGCCUAUCAGCUAGUUGGUAAGGUAACGGCUUACCAAGGCUAAGACGGGUAGCUGGUCUGAGAGGACGACCAGCCACACUGGAACUGAGACACGGUCCAGACACCUACGGGUGGCAGCAGUCGAGAAUUUUUCACAAUGGGCGAAAGCCUGAUGGAGCGACGCCGCGUGGGGGAUGAAUGGCUUCGGCCCGUAAACCCCUGUCAUUUGCGAACAAACCUUACGUUUGAAUAGGGCGUGAGUUGAUUGUAGCGGAAGAGGAAGGGACGGCUAACUCUGUGCUAGCCGCCGCGGUAAUUC
rnacentral:rRNA from 1 species